rnacentral:rRNA from 1 species
UACAGAGGUCCCAAGCGUUGUUCGGAUUUACUGGGCGUAAAGGGUGCGUAGGCGGCGGGGAAAGUUUAAGGUGAAAUCUCCAGGCUCAACUUGGAAAAUGCCUCGAAUACUUCCUUGCUUGAGGGUCGCAGAGGAGAUUGGAAUUCUCGGUGUAGCAGUGAAAUGCGUAGAUAUCGAGAGGAACAUCAGUGGCGAAAGCGAAUCUCUGGGCGACUCCUGACGCUGAGGCACGAAAGCCAGGGGAGCAAACGGG